CAUGGAGGGUGAGAAUCCCGUCUUUGACUCAGUGCAUGCUACUAUGUGAUACGUUUUCAAAGAGUCGAGUUGUUUGGGAAUGCAGCUCAAAAUGGGUGGUAAAUUUCAUCUAAAGCUAAAUAUUGGCGAGAGACCGAUAGCGAACAAGUACCGUGAGGGAAAGAUGAAAAGAACUUUGAAAAAAGAGUUAAACAGUACGUGAAAUUGUUGAAAGGGAAACGAUUGAAGUCAGUCGUACCGACGAGAAAUCAACUCAUCGAAUGGGUAAUUGCGGGCGUAUGAGAAGCUUCACGGUCUCAUUGUUUGCGAAUGCAUGUUCUCUGGGUGUACUUUUUCGUAUGGUAGGUCAACGUCGGUUUCGAUUACUAUAAAAUGAUCGGAGGAACGUAGCUUCGAUUUCGGUUGAAGUGUUAUAGCCUUUGGUAGAUGUAGUGAUUGAGACCGAGGAUUGCAACGAAUACCCUUUUGGGCUAUCCGUCUGACCUCUGAUACGUGGCCUUGGUAUUGAAAGCGUGCUUAUGAUAUUAAGGUAUUACGGUCAAAAGGUUAGAACGGAUUACAUUCGUUAAGGAUGUUGACGUAAUGG
rnacentral:rRNA from 1 species